GUUGUUCGGAAUUACUGGGCGUAAAGGGCGCGUAGGCGGUGCUCCAAGUCCGGUGUGAAAUCUCCGGGCUUAACUCGGAGGCUGCACCCGAAACUGUGGUGCUGGAGUGUGGGAGAGGUGCGUGGAAUUCCCGGUGUAGCGGUGAAAUGCGUAUAUCUCAGGAGGAACACCUGUGGCGAAGGCGGCGCACUGGACCAUGCCUGACGCUGAGGCGCGAAAGCUUGGGGAGCAAACAGGAUUAAAUACCCUGGUAGUCCACGCCCUAAACUAUGAUUGCUUGGUGU
rnacentral:rRNA from 1 species